UUCUGGAACUGGAACAGGUGCACAGUGGACAGAAACCUUCACCAGGGGGGGAGAGGGUGUUUCGUCAUCGGGUGACAACUACUCGUGGCCUGCCUCUGGUAGGUAGAAAUCGUAACAGAUAGCAUAAAACGAAGAGAGACCCCCCAAACCACAGGCAAGAACGGUACUCCUGCAAAAUUUGAGGAGAGUGCAUCCAGCAGGGUGAGGUUUCUUGUAAAAUUCUUUAAAGUGCGCCUCUAUGCUCUAAACGAAGCGAUGACGUGUACUACUAAUCUAAUGGAACAGAUCAGAGGACAGAGGAGACCUAGUCGCUGUGUAUACAUAUACAUGGUGGCGCGGAAAUUAACGGAAGCACGCAUACACGCAUCUGGCUCGCUCGUUCUCGCUUUCUUUAUUGAUUUAUGCAUACAGCGAGUCACCCAACGAACAAUUUGCAGUGCCCAGGGAGGGUGGGAGACUUAUGGGAGAUGCAAUCGAAUCACGCCUGCGCGUCCACGCUGCAACUGACUGCAAUAUAUUUGCGGGCGAGACUUCCAACGUCCGAAGGUGCUCAUGCGGGAAGUGUGAGGGUUUAGGAGUAUAGUUUAAAGUGGGGUUUUAAGUGGUUAAAAAGUUUUUUUAGAAUUUAAUAAAAAACUCAAACAAAAAAAAUGUAAGUCAAAGAUAAGUUAGUGUAAGUUCUAAAAUAAAACCUACUUGAU